AUUGAACGCUGGCGGCAGGCCUAACACAUGCAAGUCGAGCGAGCGGCGGACGGGUGAGUAAUGUUUGGGAAACUGCCUGAUGGAGGUGGAUAACUACUGGAAACGGGAGCUAAUACCCCAUACCAUCAGAUGUGCUCAGAUGGGAUUAGCUAGGAGGGGGGGUAACGGCUCACCUAGGCGACGAGCCCUAGCUGGGCUGAGAGGAUGUCCAGCCACACGGGAACUGAGACACGGUCCAGACUCCUACGGGAGGCAGCAGUGGGGAAUAUUGCGCAAUGGGCGCAAGCCUGAUGCAGCCAAGCCGCGUGUGUGAAGAAGGCCUUCGGGGUGUAAAGCACUUUCAGCGGGGAGGCGUUACCCGCAGAAGAAGCACCGGCUAACUCCGUGCCAGCAGCCGCGGUAAUUC
rnacentral:rRNA from 1 species